rnacentral:rRNA from 1 species
GAUGAACGCUGGCGGCGUGCCUAAUACAUGCAAGUCGAGCGAACAGACGAGGAGCUUGCUCCUCUGACGUUAGCGGCGGACGGGUGAGUAACACGUGGAUAACCUACCUAUAAGACUGGGAUAACUUCGGGAAACCGGAGCUAAUACCGGAUAAUAUAUUGAACCGCAUGGUUCAAUAGUGAAAGACGGUUUUGCUGUCACUUAUAGAUGGAUCCGCGCCGCAUUAGCUAGUUGGUAAGGUAACGGCUUACCAAGGCAACGAUGCGUAGCCGACCUGAGAGGGUGAUCGGCCACACUGGAACUGAGACACGGUCCAGACUCCUGCGGGAGGCAGCAGUAGGGAAUCUUCCGCAAUGGGCGAAAGCCUGACGGAGCAACGCCGCGUGAGUGAUGAAGGUCUUCGGAUCGUAAAACUCUGUUAUUAGGGAAAAACAAAUGUGUAAGUAACUAUGCACGUCUUGACGGUACCUAAUCAGAAAGCCACGGCUAACUACGUG